UACGUAGGGGGCAAGCGUUGUCCGGAAUCAUUGGGCGUAAAGCGCGCGUAGGCGGCCCGGUAAGUCCGCUGUGAAAGUCGGGGGCUCAACCCUCGGAUGCCGGUGGAUACUGUCGGGCUUGAGUGCGGAAGAGGCGAGUGGAAUUCCUGGUGUAGCGGUGAAAUGCGCAGAUAUCAGGAGGAACACCAAUUGCGAAGGCAGCUCGCUGGGACGUUACUGACGCUGAUGCGCGAAAGCGUGGGGAGCAAACAGG
rnacentral:rRNA from 1 species